UACGUAGGGGGCAAGCGUUGUCCGGAAUCAUUGGGCGUAAAGCGCGUGUAGGCGGCCCGGUAAGUCCGCUGUGAAAGUCGGGGGCUCAACCCUCGAAUGCCGGUGGAUACUGUCGGGCUAGAGUGCGGGAGAGGCGAGUGGAAUUCCUGGGUGUAGCGGUGAAAUGCGCAGAUAUCAGGAAGAACACCAAUGGCGAAGGCAGCUCUCUGGGACGGUACUGACGCUGAGACGCGAAAGCGUGGGGAGCAAACAGG
rnacentral:rRNA from 1 species